rnacentral:rRNA from 1 species
UGGGGAAUAUUGCACAAUGGGCGAAAGCCUGAUGCAGCAACGCCGCGUGAGUGAUGAAGGUCUUCGGAUUGUAAAGCUCUGUCUUUUGGGACGAUAAUGACGGUACCAAAGGAGGAAGCCACGGCUAACUACGUGCCAGCAGCCGCGGUAAUACGUAGGUGGCGAGCGUUGUCCGGAUUUACUGGGCGUAAAGGGUGCGUAGGCGGAUGUUUAAGUGAGAUGUGAAAUACCCGGGCUUAACUUGGGUGCUGCAUUUCAAACUGGAUAUCUAGAGUGCAGGAGAGGAGAAUGGAAUUCCUAGUGUAGCGGUGAAAUGCGUAGAGAUUAGGAAGAACACCAGUGGCGAAGGCGAUUCUCUGGACUGUAACUGACGCUGAGGCACGAAAGCGUGGGUAGCAAACAGGAUUGGAUACCCUGGUAGUCCACGCCGUAAAACGAUGAGUACUAGGUGUAGGAGGUAUCGACCCCUUCUGUGCCGCAGUAAACACAUUAAGUACUCCGCCUGGGAAGUACGAUCGCAAGAUUAAAAC